UGAGAGGAGAGAACCCAGCCUCUUCA
rnacentral:piRNA from 1 species